rnacentral:tRNA from 1 species
UGGGCUAUAGCCAAGAGGUUAAGGCAAUGGACUUUGACUCCAUCACCGGUAGUUCAAAUCUACCUAGCCCAGCCA